ACCGUAGGGGGCAAGCGUUGUUCGGCUUUAUUCGGCGUAAAGAGCGCGUAGGCGGUUCGAUAAGUCGGGUGUGAAACCUCCAGGCUUAACCUGGAGACGCCACCCGAUACUGUCGUGACUAGAGUCCAGUAGGGGAGCGUGGAAUUCCUGGUGUAGCGGUGAAAUGCGCAGAUAUCAGGAGGAACACCAGUGGCGAAGGCGGCGCUCUGGGCUGGAACUGACGCUGAGGAGCGAAAGCGUGGGGAGCGAACAGG
rnacentral:misc_RNA from 1 species